AGCGGCGCAUGGUGGCAGCCGCGCGCCGUGCAAUGAUACAAAAGAAUUUGCGCUUGUACGUAGCGUUGUUGGAGUGGUCCUGAACCUGAAUAGCUAGGUUUGUGGCGCGAAUCGUGGCGGGCGCUCAAAAUGUAGGCGAUCGGUAUUUCUACUUGCGUAUCAACUGGUUCAAGGGUUUUGACGCCCAAAAUGAGCUUCACUGACGCCGGUAACUCAGCUUUGCUUUUGCAUAAGCUUUGUUGCCACAUAACUGGGCUACCACCAGGUGCCGUGAGUGAAGCAUACGACAUAGCCUUGCAUUCCAUUGCAACCGCUACUACUGCUGUGGAAAAAGAGACACUUCCGAUAAGCGAGUUGAUAGUCAGGUCCUUCAUUCAGGCACACAAGGAAGCUGAAGCGGUGAAAUUUUCUGACUUACUGCGCAAGCUUCAUGCACCUCACGUGCAAGGCGUUCUGAAAAACCCAUCGUCUGUUUUGAGCUUUCUGUAUCACCUUUCCGAAGCACAGUCAAAGUUGACAGCACCUGGGUUUGGUCUUCCACGGUUAGGUAGCCAGGUCGAAAGGAGGCAGCGGCAUCAGCAUGCUGUCGACGAGACAGGCGACAGGACCUCUGGCUCUCUUGAAUCCCUGUCACAUAAGAGCAGGCCCUCAACGAAGUCAUCUAAUCAGUUUCUGGGACUCAGUACCCAAGUUGAAGGUACAAUGCCCGUUUCCGGAGAUGAGUUGAUCACGGAAGUGCUCUACGCAUUUCAAGGGAUCGGUGGAAAAAUCCUCCACUUCGACGAAGUGAAAGAAUGCUUCGUAUUUAAUCCCAAAGUAUCAUUGCCCCAGCCAACCCAGACGCUCGUACUCAGGCUCGUAGAGCUGGGGUGUUUGUACCGUAAGGUGAACGCUUUCUGCGAGAGCAAGUCGGGCGGCUGUAAGAGCGGCCUCAUGCCAGAGAGCUUCGUCGCCGCCAUCCGUACGGAGCUCUCUGAAUACUACAGAUUCGUAGCCGUCCUGGAUUCCCAGCAUCGCGACAACUUUGAAGACGGUGGCAGUAAGUUGACUCUUCUCCGGCUGCGUCUUUGGGCCAUGGAACCGAUGAAGAAGAUGAGGGUCUUGGCUGCUCUGGUUGCUGCGUGUGCCGAGUUGAAGGGGGGAAUGCUGGCUUCAAAAGUCCACGCAUUCCUGCAUCACGGAGGUCGUGAAGUUGUGGCCCUCGUGAAGCGACUGCUGAUUGCGGUUGUGAAGCCUUGGCAGACCAUGCUCUGUCGGUGGAUACACACUGGAGAGCUGGAGGAUGUCUACCACGAGUUCUUCAUAGCUUCGAAUGCUCCGGUCAAACCAGAGAGCUUGUGGCAUGACAAGUACUACCUCCGCAAGAAUAUGGUACCAUCCUUCUUGGCGGAGUCGCAGGCAAGAAAGAUCCUUUGCACUGGGAAGGCAGUGAACUUCCUUCUGCAUGUCUGCGGAGACAGCACGGCAGCACGCAUGGAAGGUAGCAUAGCCAGCACUUUAGGUGCCUCUUCUGUACAGCUUCUGUUUGACCAAGACACUGACGAGGCAUUUGACGAGUUCCUGGACAAGAUAUAUCGUGAGCGUAGCCGUAGGGUGCUCUCUGUGCUGAAUUCCCAGUUUAAGUUCAAGGAACAUUUGCAGGCGUUCCGUCAGUUCUUCCUUCUUGGGCAGGGAGACUUUGUUCGACACCUCAUGGAUGUGCUCAACCCUCAUUUGAGCCAACCAGUUGAGUCACUGCACCAACAUACGUUGACAGAACUGCUGUCGGAAGCUGUCCGGGCCACAAAUGCCCAGUUCAUUGACCAGGACAUUCUGCAGCGGCUCGAUGCAAAGCUGUUAGAGGUGAAUCCCGGAGAUACAGGGUGGGACGCAUUCAGUCUGUAUUAUCACGUCGAUGGGCCGAUAGGAACGGUAUUCACACCUUACUGCAUGUCAGUUUACCUGAGGCUGUUCAACCACUUGUGGCGAGCCAAGCACAUGGAGUAUGUCGCCACGGCAGCAUGGACAGAGCAGACGGUCCACAUGAAGUUACUUCGUUAUCGCUUACCCGAGUGCCUCCCAGUGCUGCACCGCUGCCACCUCAUGCUUGCAGAAAUGAUGCAUUUUAUGCAGGAAGUACAGUACUACAUUGUAUUUGAGGUGAUCGAGUGUGCAUGGGCAGAGUUGCAAACGAAAGUGGAACAUGCUCAGGACCUCGACCAGAUCAUCAAAGCCCACGAGGAAUUCCUGUCAACCAUCAUGACACGAGCUCUACUGGACACUGACUCUCGGGACGUCUUGUCGGAGUUGCGUUCUAUCUUCGAGCAAGUGCUGCGCUUCAAGCAGGUUCAAGACGAAAUCUUUUCCGGUGCCCUCAAGGAGAUCGAUGCCCGUGCCGAGGAGAAGAAACAUCCAGCUGUUAAGGUCACGAGAACUAGCUUUGUCAGGGCUAUCUUGAAGUCUCAAUCUUCACUGACACUAAUUUCUGAUACAUUUGAGAGAUUCGUUGAACACUUCCUGUUGAGCUUGGCAAAUCAGAGCGAUGGCAACCUCCAAGGCCUUGGAUUCCGCCUUGACUUCAAUGAGUACUAUAAGGGGCACAACAGCCAACUACGUACAUCAAUGACGUUCCAGAACAAGAAGCAGACUAUGCGCAUGUUCCCGCCUGUUCUCUAAGCACUGUAUUGGCCAGCACGUCCCUUCUCUCCCUGCAAAUUCCUCUGUGAUUGGCGCGUCACGUACGGCUCUGCCACAGCUGGAGGAACGAUAAAACUGUGCAUGCACGUGGUUGGCUGAUUCUUCUCUACUCUAACGACAAGUCCGACAGUCAGGGAGAAGAUGUCCUGGAUCGAAUAUUGGGCAGACGGCUUUCAUCUAUUCACUGCAGUUCCCCAAUUUUCAAGUCAUGAGAUGGCAUGUUCCAAAUACGGGGCUCUCUUCCAGAAUAGUUAUUGUUGAUCACUUCCCAAUCAUUAUAAAAUGCCAAUGUUGAUUACAUA